UACGUAGGGGGCAAGCGUUGUCCGGAUUUAUUGGGCGUAAAGAGCGUGUAGGCGGCCAUACAGGUCCGUUGUGAAAACUGGAGGCUUAACCUCCAGACGUCGAUGGAAACCGUAUGGCUAGAGUCCGGAAGAGGAGAGUGGAAUUCCUGGUGUAGCGGUGAAAUGCGCAGAUAUCAGGAAGAACACCCGUGGCGAAGGCGGCUCUCUGGGACGGUACUGACGCUGAGACGCGAAAGCGUGGGGAGCGAUCCGG
rnacentral:rRNA from 1 species